rnacentral:rRNA from 1 species
GACGGAGGAUCCGAGCGUUAUCCGGAGUGACUGGGCGUAAAGAGUUGCGUAGGUGGUCUGUUAAGCGGAUAGUGAAAUCGUGUGGCUCAACCAUACGGCUAUUAUCCGAACUGGCAGACUUGAGAGCGAGAGAGGUAGCUGGAAUUCCUAGUGUAGGGGUGAAAUCCGUAGAUAUUAGGAAGAACACCAAUGGCGUAAGCAGGCUACUGGCUCGUUUCUGACACUAAGGCACGAAAGCGUGGGGAGCGAACCGG